rnacentral:rRNA from 1 species
UACGGAGGGUGCAAGCGUUGCUCGGAAUUAUUGGGCGUAAAGGGUAGGUAGGUGGUCUCGUUUGUCUGGGGUGAAAGCCUUGAGCUUAACUCAAGAAGUGCCCCCAGAAACGGCGAGACUAGAGUCCUGGAGAGGGUCGUGGAAUUCCCGGUGUAGCGGUGAAAUGCGUAGAGAUCGGAGGAAGACACCAGGAGGCGAAGGCGGCGACCUGGAC